UCUUGCUCCUGAUUUCAGUGGGUAUUCUCGUGUGACAACGUGUCAGCUGUGACUUCUCAGGUACUGUGUGUUGCAAAGAGCUCAGCAGUGGAAUUUGUGGUGACAUCUAAUGUUGCUCUCCAGGAUAAAUUUAGUGAUUCACAAAGUCCAAGCAGUGCAGGAGAAAUGGAGUCCUGCAUCCCUGAGAAUGAGGCGCUGCGGAAAUUCUGUUGAUCUUUCUUCCCAAGAUCGUGCAUUAACAGCAUUCUGGCAGGACUAAGGGACUUCUGACACUCCCAGCUGAAGUACAAGAAAAGGACUUCACACAACUGAAGUACAAGAAAAGACUUUCUGCUACAUUUUAGAAACCAAAGUGAAGUGGUGGACAUAGGAUGCUUGGAUACCUGUCUAAUACAGCAUCAAGACACAGCUGAAGUUUACACCCAGCCCUGUUUAACUAACUUUAUGUUUCUCAUUACCUGAAUCAACAAAUAGCUUUAAGAUGGCUGCAUGGAUACUACUCUCAUGAAUUGUUUUCUAUAAUGUUGUUGAUAUUUGUGGAAGAUGCUAAAGAUGGAAAAGUGGUCACUUGGGAAGGCACAACACUGCACAACUGUUCCUCCCACAGCUGCUGGGGUGCUGCUCCAGGAUGCAGUUUCAAACUCACAAAUAUCUGUGCAGAUACACACAUAUGAGCCUUCCAAGACAUGCAAAUCUCUGCCGUCCUUCUGUGGUAUCACCGCUGCCAGAAAAGUCAACUGCAAUGCAAAGCCAAGGAGCAGGACUCAGGAAACCCUCCUGCUUUCAUGUUUGGGAUUUUGAGACCACAACUCUUCUCUGGUUCUUAAAGGCUUUCCCUGGGAGAAGUUGCAGGAUGCGGUGGAAUUUCUUUCUUCUUUGUGUCUGUGUUGGCUGAAGGAGGACAGAGGAGCUUGAAAAGGCUCGCCCUCCUCAAGGAACGCUAUCUGAUUCGUAAGCAUUCCUAGAGGUUAAGGCUGGUGACUAUCAAGAAAGCAAAUACUUCACGCAAGGGUAAGUCCUCUAAUUGUGUUUGUGUUGAAUAACUGCCAGAUCCCCAUGUCAGGAUGUCUGCAGUCACGGCUCUGAUCUCACCAUUCCUUCCUCGGCUCUUGCACAAUUGUGUUGCAUGUUUGUGGUACGGGAGAAAGUUGGAGAGCUGGGCUAUGAAACCAUCUCAGGGAAGGAAGCCAUGUUUUAUUUUAGUUGCUUGGUUUGGAUAAAAGCCUGUAGGAGAUGGAAUAACAUAAAAAAAUCCCCAUAAUGCAGCCCAUUCAUGGAAAACAAACCUGGUUUUCUCUACAGAUAUAUGAAAUAUGAGGUUUGAUAGCCAGGUUGGAAAAGGAAAUGUCAAUAAAAAUGUGUUUGCUAGUGUAGUGGAAAUCCGCAUGUACAUAUGUGUGAAGUUAUUACUUGUUCUACCUGGACUCUCACCUGUGAUUGCAAGGUCUGUUGGGGUCAGGCUUGUAAAUUCAAAAAGGGAACUUUUGAAAAACUGGUUAUGAAUCUGCUCCUCUGAUGGAUCACUUCAAGGAUCUGUUGUGGCAGGGAAGCCACAAAGCAGUGACAAAUAACAGGUUACAAGAGAGGAAAGAAACCCAAAGAUACUGGAUUGAGCUUAGCAAGAGAGACGGAAGGGAAGAACAUCAUAAUUCCUUCCAGCCAUUGCAGAAGAGUUUUGAGGACUCUCAGAACAAGCAAGGAUUGAAAGCCACUCAGGUUACACAAAUAUUAAAUCCUGAAAGAAGACAGCAGUUGCCUUAGCCACAGAAAUGUUGAUUAAAAGUAAUAUCCUGGUCGGUCUCAGUACCAUAAAUCUAUCCUAGAUGAUAAAGCUGUGCAUUAUCCCUGUUUGGUUAGAACAAAGCAAAUGUCACAGAGGUCUAAUUUUAAUACAGAAAAAUAGUAAGAGGUUGAGUUAAUCUAUGACCAUCAUGUCGUCUCACAUAAUAAAAUCUGGUGAGCUGGUAGCAGUGCUCCAGGAGGAUGUCAGUUCCACUUCCUAAACCAGGAAGAGGAGAAUUAUCCAGAGCAAUAAAGAGCUUGUACAAAUAAUACGAGGGAAAUCAGAAGUUAAUCUGAAUACCAACUCACUCAAUCUAAUCAGUAGGAACAGCUCCCUGCCAAAUGCUCCGUUACCUGAAACAGGGGUCAACUGAUAAACAUCAGCCGGUCCUCUCAUUAAAAAAACACAGCUAACAACCCCCCUUCAUCUCCAGAUCUCAAAUUCCAUCGUUCCCGAUAAGCACUAACCAGUUCCUCAUCUCUCAUUUGCAGUUCAUAUCCUGAGCUACACAGAUUUGUGUUAGAGAUAAGGAUAUGAGAAAGCAAAGCCAUAUUAAUGCACAUGCUGCAACCUGCGAGCCUCUCCAGGGCUGCCGUGCCUGGCGCUGGGAACUGGGGUGGUCAGUGGGUCUGCACUGGGAUUUGGGAUCUGGCCACACCCCGCUCGUUUGGCAACCUCAGCCCAGAUGAACACAGUCAAGGAAAGCACUGUGAGCCACCUGGGUGGGGAAAGAGAUGGCUGGCAAAAGAGGGAGCAAGCAAGGAAGAAUGGGAGCGAGAAGGGGAAAGAAGGACGGGGAGCUGUAAUCCCAAAUUUAUGAAAGAUGUCACCCAGCUGCCAUGACACCAUGUUAGCUACUUUUGGAUUCUCAUCCCACUGUUAGAUAUUUGUCAGAGCUAAAGGCAAACCAAUAUUUUCUGUCUUUGCCUUUCAGCAUGGGUGAGGUUUCAGUGCCCUAAAAAACAGGUAACACAAAUCAGUGUUGGCAUUCAGAUGGCAACCAGUAAAAGGUGGUUCCUGAAUCUGUGUUCUGGGGUUUGAGUCAAGCAUUUCUCUUCAGCCAUUUAUCCAAUGUUUUUCUAAAUUUUUGGAAAGGUACAGAACUUUUGCUUUUCUUGGUAGCUGAGAGAAAUAAGGCUUGAGUCAGCUGCACCACAAUGCAGAAUUCUUCUUUACAACAGGUUAGAGGCUUCCCAGAGAAAAUCGCUCUUUUCCGUUCUGCAGACUUUGGUUCUUCAUGUGUUUUAGAUUUGCAGAUAAACUAGUCAAAACUAAUCAAAAGCAAAACAGAACACAACCAAUAUAAAAUCCCCCAACUGCCUUUUUAAAGGUCACUGACUCAACUAUAUUUAGUUUUAAUAUUUUUUUAAUUUCAGAGUGUGGGAAAUAAGCAGGGGUUAUUUCCUCCAGCAAACCAGGGUUUUCUUAGCCUCUUUUUUUGACUUCAGAUUUAGCUGAAGUCAAAUACUAUGACCUGUAAUAAUCUGAGAACAAUAUGUCUUGUUUGCACUCAAAUUGCUAUUCACUGUCACUUUACUUGUUAAAGGAAAAAAAUAAAGCCUGUUUCAGUGAGCCACAGGUAAAUUAAAUUUAAAUCAGUUCUAUGAUUAAAUUCUUGGAGAGAAGCUGACUGUAGCAGCUUGUAUAUGCUCAUAUUUGUGGAAAGUCUACCCUCAAAUCAGAAAUAUGUCAACAUUAUUUCAGUGACAUGUUUUCCUUUUGAAAAAUUUCAUUUUUGUCAAAGCGAGUAAUAUAGAUAAACCUAAUAAAUGGAUUAAUUUAGGUCAUUAUUUGGGGAAAAUAGAUGUACUCUUUCACAUUAUGUUUCUCUGUGAGUUAUCACCCAUUUGUCUUUCCAAGGACAUGUUCUUCCUUCCACUAUUUACUUUUAAUUUCAAAGGAGAAAAAUAAUGGGUAAUGGGGGUUUUGGAUUAUUAUUUCACUUGAAAUGCUGAGACAGUAAUGAAAUAAAAUAUCCUAUGCCUCCUUUAAAAGCCACACACUUGCUAUUGAAGGGGAAAUAAUUCCCCCCCCAGGCCCUGUUCCACCCCAAAAAAGAAGAGAGAGAAAAAGAGAACAGGUGCAGUUAAUGGGCCAGACUAAAGUAUCAUGGGAGAUUUUCAAAGCCACAGAUCAAUUUAGCUGCACCACUUCCGAGGAAAAUAAAUGAGUGCUGUUUACUUGGGUUUUCUGCAGUUUGAAAUUAUCCUCUCCAAUGUAAGCUUUGGGGCAAAGUCUACUUGAAAUAAUUGCAGCCAUUUGGAAUUGACAUGUCAGCACCACCUCACAUGACAGGGACGAAUGCCGCUCACUCAUACACAGAUUUUCCAUAGACAACAGAACAGCAGAGAAUAUUGCCAAGCAUUGCCAGGGAAAAGCAGGAAUAGCCUUGCCUUACAAUUCCAUGCUUUAUUUUGCUACUUUUUCAAAAUUGUCUCAGAGUGGGGAACAAAGUCUGGGCAUUUGUCUCAGGCAGGCAAUUCUAUGUCUUCUUUUCCUUUGGUUUUAGCAGAACCUUUCUUCCUGUCUACACUCCCUGUUGUAUUUGUUUGUCUUAAAUUGUCCUAGAAAAUUAUGAGUUUAUGAAAAUGUAACAUGUGUCUUGAUUCUAUGAAAUUAAUAAAUUAUUAAUUAAGUCUUUCAAUCCCACAUGUAUACAUACACUUAGAUACAUAUGUUGAAUCUAUUAUAAAAAAGCUGUCAGGAACUUUGGAAUUAUACAAAAAUUAGACAAAAUGGUACAUUUAGUACACCAUCUGCUUUAUUAAUGGGUAACUUACUCAUCUCUGGGCCUACAUCACACUUUGUGCUGAUCCAAACACACACCCAAUUAAAUUAAAGGGAUUUUAUCUGUGAUCUUAUUUUAAAACCUUAGUUCUUUGCAAGGUCUACCAUUUUGUAAAGUCUCUGUGGAAACACUGUUUAUUGAAGUGCUAAUGGCUUAUCCUAAUUUCCAUAAGGGAGCUUUUUUCCUUCAUGCAUUCUGACUUUAGUUGACCAUCAUCUUGUUUUAUAGUCAGUAUUUAAAAAUUGUUUUGGCAAAGUGGCUGAGUAAUCAAAAAUGCAAAUUACCUUUCUUGGACCAUUUUUUCCUUAUUUUUAUUUUUCAUGAAAUAUCUUUCAUGUUUUCUUCCUUACGUUCACCUAGUGCAGGUAAAUUCAAAGCAAGAACCACAUUUCUUUUAUUCCAAUGACUCACUUCAGCUAGGAACAAAUUCUUUUGUGUUAGCUGUUCCUUCUAAGAUAAUAUCAUACACUAAAUUCCAACAUAUUAAUCUUUUAAUGCAAAAUCAUAGAAAAAAAUUAUUGAAAAUAACCCAUAGGUAAUGGAGCAAGCUACUGUAGAGUCAUCCUCAGGUCUGGAUUCAUCUGUCUGUUUUUCUACAGAGUGGGGGGAUUCUUUUUUUUUUUAAAUUUUUUUUUAAGACAGUUUUUAAUGCUUGAACAAAUCCCUUUUUCUUCCCUUUGGUAAUGUGGUUAACUGUCUGGAAUGUGAGCCACUGGAAAUUCUUCCCCACAGAAGGAUCUCCAUUAAGCUUUCAAACAGAGUUACUUCAUCCCCACAGCUGCAUGGAUAGAAGGCUUUCUAGCUCCUAAAUACUUACUGUAUAUGUCAUCCUUAAAUUUUUUUUUUUUUUUUUUCUCAGCCAGAGAUUUGGGAGCAGGUGCUAGCCUUUUGCUUCCUUUCUGCUUCCUCUGUGGGGAACGGGCUGGAAAGAGCCAACUAAUUAGAAAAUUCUACAGGGAAAUUAAUUCUGCAAACAGCUGAGGAAUGGCAUUUCAGUAUAAUGCUCACUUUGUCUGUCAGCAGAGCGCUGGUUGGCUUCCCAAGUGGCAGCUCUCCCAGAUGUUAAACAUGUUGUGAUGAGACCAGAACUGCAUCAUCAUGUUGCCCGUUUACUAAAAGUCGUGGUGCUCUGGAAGAGUAAAUACAUUAAAACCAACCUCUGGGACGUGCUGUGUUGUGUCACAAGGCAGCAGCAUGGGUUUUUUUACAUAUUCUUGAAGUGUAGCAAUGAACCAAAUCGUUUUUAGCCAGCUUAGUUCCGAAUGCUGCCUUUGCUUUCAUGUAGGGCUGGGGGCAUGGAGAAGGAGGGGCAAGGACCCUCACUAAACCACUCUGUGUAAAGGCCUGGGUUGUCAAAGCCAGCUCUGUGACAUGUCUGAGCAGAGCCCUCACUCACCCAGCUGGCUGUUCUCGGGCACGUGGGGACAGUCGGAUCUGCAUCCCAGGCUUCCCGCUCCGGAGGCACUGGCGGCAGAAACACGCGGGCAGGGCCCUCUGAAGGAGCCUGUUCUGAGAUGUGCAUGGAAACAGCACCGAGUGAAGAUGAUGACAGACUACUCAUGUCCCAGAGAUCUCACCAGUACCUGCUUUGGUCACCUUAGUAUUUCUUACUUGUGGGCAAAGCCCCAGCCACUUGCAAUACCUUCUGUGAUGUGCCUGGUUCUCAGUGCGCUUCCUGUGACAGACCUCUGUGACCCUGCAGCCCAGUGCUCCUGCCAGCCACAUUCCUCAUCUGUCCCUUCCAGAGCCCCCAAGUUUCCCUCCAGCUAACCCUGAGGAGCAGAAUUCCCAUGCACAUUGCUCCCAGAUUGACGUGGCAUCCCUUCCAUGAGCUGCCAGGAGGUGGCCCUGGGCUCUGUUUUAGCAUUCAGCUAUGCACAAGCGGCCCUCACACUCCAGAUGUCUGGGAAUUUGCCCUGGAUGGAACACUGGAAGAGUGACUUCUGAGUUCCCGUUGAGUAAAUACAGAACUGCUUUCUUGUCUUUUAAAUCUCAACAUGAUAUUGAAGCUUGGGGUGCUCUGAACACCUCUUUGUGGUGGUUCAUUUUUCAGGUGUCUUACCCUGCCUCAGUGGCUCUUGUACCCUUGAGCUCUCUUUUCUACUCUGUCUCUAUAUCUAAAUGCUUUUCCUUCCUCUGUCUCCUAAGAACUAAUUUGUCUUAUCUAAGAAUAUAAAAAAUAUGACAUUCAUGCAAUUCCCAUCUAGAUAUGGUAUUUUUCUGCAGCUGAAGGCUUUCCAAAGCAUUUUUAUUUGUCUUAUAUUUGAUUGACUGUAGCAGGACUAGGGUUUUUUUUUUUUUUUUCUUUUUUUUUUUUUUAAUUUCCAUUGUACUUCACAAAUGCAGUAUAAUAAUCAUUCCAUAUUCUGUCUCAAUCAAAAAUCUCAUCACUCCAUAUUUUCUUAUCAGUCAGUUCUCUCCGGCAUAACUACAUUGCUUGAUAUGUUGCACAGUGUCGGGUUCAAGGACUGUUUUUAAUGGAAAAAUAUUAAUAUCCUUUCACUAGUCCAGUGUUAACAUGUAGAUGUUUUUUGAGAAUUAUUUGGUUAUAAACUUUAUUUAAAUAGAACCUUGCAAUUUUGGCCAUGCUUAUGUUGAUUUGUGAUCAUCUUCCAGCACAAAGAACUAACUAUAGGGCUUUGACUUGGAAAGAGUCAUUUUCACAGAUGAGGAUCAUGCUUGCAGAAGAAAAUGAUAGGAUUUCAUCUUUGUCUUUAAUAAAAAUCAAGCUAGUUUCUAUAUUUUCUAAAUUUACUUCACCUGUUAACAAUUACAAUUUUCAUAAUGAGAUUUAAUUGCUUAAGAAACCAUUGAAAUUAUAUCCCAACUAAAUAUUAACAUCUUCCCCUCUUCUAAUUCACAAUUUGAAAACAUUCUUUGCAUCUUUUACUUGCUUUCUAUAGAUGUGUGCAUUAACAAAUUGGAAGGACUAAAAAGCAUCUAUCUCCAAAAGAGAUGUGCAUGGACUUUUGGAUGUGAGCAACUGGAAUUUAAAGUCUCUUUGCUCUAAUGUCACACACAGAAGAUUUAUUCUGCAGUCACAUUUUCUGAAUUAAUUGAAUUUUUAAUUUUGUGGUCCUAAAUGCAUCACUGCCUGGCAGUUUUCCAAAGUGCAUUGUGAUAUAAUGAUGCCUGCAUUAUGGAAGCUUGUCAAGUGGUCCGUGCUUAACAUGGGGACCUGUCUGCACUUAAAACAAGAACCAAAUGAAAUUAUUAAAUAUUAUUAUCACAUAUUCUUCCCAGAAUCACACUUUUUAUUAGGGUGUGAUGAAUAAUUGCAGGAACAUUGGCAGCUGAAAUUUCUAAAGUGAUUGUCAAAUAGGAAAUAAAAUGGAAAAUGGGAAAUAAAAUGUGCUAUUUAUUGCAGGUCAAGAUAGAUUGCCUUUAAAUUCUACCUAGAUAAAAGUUCUUAGUGAUUUAAUUUUCUGUUUAGUAUCAUCCAGAUGUUCAAACUGACCCAGGUGGUGUGGAAAUUUCAUUUUUCCAGCUUAUGAUAGUGAAUUGAAUAAUAAAAAACAAUCAUAAAACAUCUCCAUAUUGCAUCCAUGGAGAUUCACUAGGAUGAUUUACACUAAAUGGAUUUUUACGUGGAAUGGGUUUCUUUUCCAAAGUUCAGCAAGAGUCAAGACUACAUCCGUAUGUGUUUAGGAGCCAAAAAUUGUAAGUAAAGGAGAAAACACAUCUGUGUGUGGAAGUUUUUGAAUAAUUGCACUGUUUGUUUAAUGAUAUAGCUGAUGUUAUGAGCGCUCCUGGAGAGAACAGCAGAGCUGGAGCAGCAGGGAUAAGGAUGUUUUCCUUCAGGGAAACAUGAAAUGCUUUGUUUUGUCCUGGUGUGUUCAAGAGAACUGCAUUUCCAUUUUGGCUUCAAGAGAUCUCCCCUUUUAAAAAGUGAAAUUCUCUUUCACAAAAUAAUGAUGCUUUAAGAAAUUAAAACUUUUAUUUAUUUACUUAUUUACACUUCAAAGCAAAGUAGUUUGCUCACCCAUUUUGGGAACAACUCUACUUGCUGAAGCUGAUUGGAAUUUGCAAAGGGUUUUAGUAAGUCCAAGAUUUCAUUUUUCAGUCAAUUUUGUAUUCAUCAAGUAAUUUCAUUCAUCUCUAGCUAUGAUGUUUCGGUUGCAAGUUUGUUGGGGUUUUUUUUAAUGUGUGUUUACCACCCAUAUUGCUAGAGUUAAUAAAUAAACACAAAUUGAUUUAUGACUUGUUUUGCUUGGACAAGUUUGUGAAUAGAAAUGUUGUAUAGCAUUUAAUUAAAUUCUUUCUUUCCUUCAAGGAUGCCACUAUCCAAAACAAAUUGAAAAUUUUGUUCAGAAAUUGUGCUCACACUCUGUAGCAUAAUGGAUACUCUUGAGAUAAACUGACAUCUGGGGUAGAUCUUCAUAAGAAUGGUUUCCAAAGUUCAGAAUGGAAACUUUUAAACUUUCAAGCUGUCCUUAAGUUAUAAUAUAUGCCUGGCUUAGUAUUGCAUUUCAGUAUUUACAUAAAUUCUGUAUUUUAAAUAACAGAUGCACCUCAGCAGAUUGUAAACCUUUUCUUGAUACAUUUUGGCAGCAGCUGCAGGUCACAUCCCUUGCUGAAUUUCUAGAUUGCUCACCAAGGUCAACAUUCAUCAAGCAUUUUUUCUACUACACUUUAAAGAUUUUCCUCUCUCUGCUCUGGAAAUGCAAGUGUUAUUCUUUUCUCUGAAAUCCCACCAAUUUGUUAUUUGUAGGCAUGGCUUGGAGAGGAAGGAGGGAUGAGGAGACAGUGGGAGUGAGUCAUUAUUUUAUUGUAGUGACACUCUGGUGUUAUUCCAGCCAGUCAGUUUUACCCCAUAGCUGCUGACUGCAGUGCUAUCCAUGGCAGAUGCUCAGAAAUGAAAAGCUACAUCUUUUUUUGCUGCUGGUUACUGUGAUGUAGCACAGAUGAGAAAAUAGGUAUAUAUAUUUACACCAACUUUAUCCUCUGACCAAAGAAUCUGACAGUUUAAAGCUGUGCCACUCUCCCAAAGGUGUGUGCAGGUUGGACAUGUGUCACUCCUAUUUAUCAACAGUAUCCAGAAAUACAGGAACCUAACUGUGCUGAGGAUUCAUGUAAGGAUGUUAUUUAAACACCUGUAUUUUGUGGCCAGAAAAGCACUCUGUUAAACUCACCUGAGGGUCUGCUACCUCCAUAAGAGGAAUGUGUUGGAGUGGAUAAGGGGACUAGGUCAUGUCCCUCAUGUCUGAAAGAAAAAACGUAAUGGCAUAUGAAUAAAAAAACAGAGAUUUUCAGAAAAGACCUUGAUAUUUUGGUCCUAAUUCAAUAAAUAUUUUUUUUUACAUUCACAAAUACAUUAGGCCAGUGCUGGCUGCUUCUGGAAUCCCACCCUUAACACCAGCCUUCUUAAGGGCCAACCUGCUUGCCUUCCUUCCAAUGCUGAAAAAAAUCCCUGAAAUCUCGGCCCCUCAGCCCCAAAACAGAAGAAAAGAGGAUAGUUUGUGGUUUUUUAUUUGACAGUUUGGGUAGGCCAUCUAGAAAAAAAAUUCAAGCGGAAAUUAUAUGAACAUAAAAUUGUUUUUGACACAUUUGGCAAAUAGUAAUGUUUUUAAGAAGCCUGCUCUGAACCCUGUUGGGUGAGCAGCCACUUGUUCAGCUUGAGCAAAAGGAUUUCUUGCCAGAAAGCAGAAAGGAAAGAUCACCAGCUGGGGAUUCAUCCUUUCCACUCAUAUUUUCUUUGCCUGUGACUCCCAAAGUGUUUGGUGAAAUGGCAAUGUUGUUGUACUUUUACAACCAAAGCACAGGAGAUUAAAGUGAAGAUAUGAAAACACAAAUGCUUGAAAAGUUUCAUUCCUGGAAAAGAGAGACACAGAGGAGCUGACCGAGAAAGCUGAUGCUCAGGAGUACCCUAAGAACCUUCAUAGGGCUGGUAUUUAUGAAAAACAAAGCACUUUCUUAGGAGUCUAAAUUACACACUAAGCAAUGGCCCCAAACUUUUAUUACAUUCUAGGAAAAGAUCAGGAAAAAGAACAUAAAAUACUCAGAGUUAUCUGUACUAAAUAUUAGACUGUAUAUUAUAUCCUGUCUUUAAUGUUGUGGAGAAAACCAGAAUGGUCUGAAUUACUAUCAUUUUUUAAAAACUAGAAACAUAAUCUGGGAAGAAGUUUUUAUGCUGGACUGCUUUUUAGCUGGGUUGUUUCUGAGGAAUUAAAAAGAGCUGAAAAUCUCAUAUUUGGCAUUGCAUAAUCAAUGGUUCAAUGACUGACCAAAUACCCAUCAUUCUGUUCCAUUCAUGAGUUUAUGCCAUACACAGUCAGGUGGCAUUUGUCCAGAAGCUGACAUGUCCUUUCAUUGCUAAAAACCUUGGUUUGGAAUGGAAUGGAGUCAAGCACAGGAAGGAAAUGAUUAUGGAAACUGUAAGAAUUUGAGACCUCAGCUAUCUUCAGACACAGCAAAACAUUUCCUCCUGUUAUCAGCAGGGGCAGACUUCAGUUUGAGUCCCUCUCUCCUCCCUCUUGUUGCUCCACAGCCAUAAAAACGUAGAGAUGUUGCAACCCAAGUACCCAAGUGAAGGCAAAGCUCCAUCUGAGAAUGCCUUGGGCUCCAGAAGGUUCAGGUUCACAGCAUGAACUUAGAGACUGGCUGUUGAGAAGACACUGGCUGGGUAACUGAAAGCUCAGAAAAGAUGCUGCAGGAAGACUUUAAAACAAGAAUAAAUAUGGAAGUUGUUCCAGAGGGUGGGACUGGUCUUCUGUUUGUCUGGUACUAGAGGCACUUUUGUGGGCAUGUGAUUUGCCAGUGUUAUAAAAUGAUGGAAUCAUAAUGUCCUUAUCCAUCUCCUACCAAGAAAUAAGCAGCACUAAUAAACUUAAUCCUCAGUGCAGUCGUAACAGUAUUUCCAAGGGCUGUUUCAGAAAAUAUAAACACAUUAAAGAACAGCCAGAAACCCAAUCUGCUCAGCAAUCACUGAUUUCUCAGUUGUGUGUUGAAGACAUAGCAACCCAAAUUACCCUUGAAAUGACUCUAUUUAUUUCAAGUCAUACCCUUUUCCCAGCUGUAUUUUUAGACAACUUCAUACUAGUAGUACAAGAGCUUGUUCCAGACAAGGACUUAACUUAGGUUUAUGUUAACAUAUAAUUUGUAAAAGUUUGCAAUAAACAUCCUUCUCUGACACUGGCAGAAACUGUAGGAAGGAAAACACCGCCACUAACUUUGGCUACUUGCUUUGAUUCAAACCUCAUUGUGUGAUGUUUGUUAUGAGAGCUCCAAAACUGCACAGAAGUGAUGAAUUGUUGUGUCACUGAGACCAGAAUUUCCAAAGCAGCCUCGUCUUUUUAGAUUUUGGCUUCCAAGAAAAAUAUUCACCAGAGGCCUGGUGUUGGAUCGGGAAGUGUGCUAGCAGGCUUUCAUUCAGAUAGCAAGAAAUAUGCAAUGCAUGAUUCAAGACCUUAGGCCUGAGCUGGCAUCCCAUAAUGCACUCCCUGAAGCUGAUGAAAUGCUAGGGUGUACAGGAAGUGCCAGCUGAAGUAAUACAAAUACACAAACUUAGUGAAUAUUUAUGUAGAUACGGUAAACAGAAAAGGAAAGUGCCAGUGUGCACAUGCUGCUGGUCACUCUGAAACUGCUGCUCUGCACAGGCCAGUUUUUAUAUCCUUCAGAAUAACAGGACCAUCAUUAUUUUUCCAAUGCUGAGUGAGUUUCCCCUCUGUUAAUCACACAGAGUAAAAGCAGGUCUGUAAUCUCAGUUCAGCUGCAUUUGGAAACAAGUCUUGUUUGUAAAGAUGGAAGGAAACGAGGCAGGAAUCUAUUUCUCUGCAGAGGCAUUCAGUUUUUCCAUGGUCAGUCUUUUCUCCACACUGACCAGAUUCUCUGCACUGAGUAAAGUUUUGGAUUCCUUUAAAAUACCUGUUUAUCAUUGAUACAAUUCAGGAUGCAUCAAUGACUUUGAAAGGGUGUUCUAGAAACUGCUGUGAUAUUGCAGUCUCUGUGUGUUCUGUUUUAUUCCUUAAAUCAUGUAGUUGUUCUGGUCAAAAUUGCUUGUGAUGUUCUUUGAGACAUUGAGCAAGCUCAUAAUGGGAAAAUCCAUUUCUCUGAAAUGCCAGCACUUUAAAUAAUUUAAAACUAUUCUGUUCUACCUAAAGGAAGUUUAAUCUAUUACUUAUCUGUCCAGGAGGAUACUGUUCAAAGGUAUUGGACUAUCUUGAAUUAAGAAGGAAAAAAAGUUGUUGGAAUAAAUUAAAUAUUUCCAUAUAAUAAAUGGUGGCAAUUUAAUAAUUAGUGAGAAGCCUUGUGUUUAUAGAUUUUUUGUAACAUGGCAUAUGAAUAAUGGAAACAGAAGGUUGUUUAUUCAGCAUAUAAAAGCCAAUUUUAGAGGAAUAACAGAUGUUGAAUGCCAGAGCCAGA